rnacentral:rRNA from 1 species
UUAAAUUGAAGAGUUUGAUCAUGGCUCAGAUUGAACGCUGGCGGCAGGCCUAACACAUGCAAGUCGAACGGUAACAGGAAGAAGCUUGCUUCUUUGCUGACGAGUGGCGGACGGGUGAGUAAUGUCUGGGAAACUGCCUGAUGGAGGGGGAUAACUACUGGAAACGGUAGCUAAUACCGCAUAACGUCGCAAGACCAAAGAGGGGGACCUUCGGGCCUCUUGCCAUCGGAUGUGCCCAGAUGGGAUUAGCUAGUAGGUGGGGUAACGGCUCACCUAGGCGACGAUCCCUAGCUGGUCUGAGAGGAUGACCAGCCACACUGGAACUGAGACACGGUCCAGACUCCUACGGGAGGCAGCAGUGGGGAAUAUUGCACAAUGGGCGCAAGCCUGAUGCAGCCAUGCCGCGUGUAUGAAGAAGGCCUUCGGGUUGUAAAGUACUUUCAGCGGGGAGGAAGGGAGUAAAGUUAAUACCUUUGCUCAUUGACGUUACCCGCAGAAGAAGCACCGGCUAACUCCGUGCCAGCAGCCGCGGUAAUACGGAGGGUGCAAGCGUUAAUCGGAAUUACUGGGCGUAAAGCGCACGCAGGCGGUUUGUUAAGUCAGAUGUGAAAUCCCCGGGCUCAACCUGGGAACUGCAUCUGAUACUGGCAAGCUUGAGUCUCGUAGAGGGGGGUAGAAUUCCAGGUGUAGCGGUGAAAUGCGUAGAGAUCUGGAGGAAUACCGGUGGCGAAGGCGGCCCCCUGGACGAAGACUGACGCUCAGGUGCGAAAGCGUGGGGAGCAAACAGGAUUAGAUACCCUGGUAGUCCACGCCGUAAACGAUGUCGACUUGGAGGUUGUGCCCUUGAGGCGUGGCUUCCGGAGCUAACGCGUUAAGUCGACCGCCUGGGGAGUACGGCCGCAAGGUUAAAACUCAAAUGAAUUGACGGGGGCCCGCACAAGCGGUGGAGCAUGUGGUUUAAUUCGAUGCAACGCGAAGAACCUUACCUGGUCUUGACAUCCACGGAAGUUUUCAGAGAUGAGAAUGUGCCUUCGGGAACCGUGAGACAGGUGCUGCAUGGCUGUCGUCAGCUCGUGUUGUGAAAUGUUGGGUUAAGUCCCGCAACGAGCGCAACCCUUAUCCUUUGUUGCCAGCGGUCCGGCCGGGAACUCAAAGGAGACUGCCAGUGAUAAACUGGAGGAAGGUGGGGAUGACGUCAAGUCAUCAUGGCCCUUACGACCAGGGCUACACACGUGCUACAAUGGCGCAUACAAAGAGAAGCGAACUCGCGAGAGCAAGCGGACCUCAUAAAGUGCGUCGUAGUCCGGAUUGGAGUCUGCAACUCGACUCCAUGAAGUCGGAAUCGCUAGUAAUCGUGGAUCAGAAUGCCACGGUGAAUACGUUCCCGGGCCUUGUACACACCGCCCGUCACACCAUGGGAGUGGGUUGCAAAAGAAGUAGGUAGCUUAACCUUCGGGAGGGCGCUUACCACUUUGUGAUUCAUGACUGGGGUGAAGUCGUAACAAGGUAACCGUAGGGGAACCUGCGGUUGGAUCACCUCCUUACCUUAAAGAA